rnacentral:rRNA from 1 species
AGUAAAGUGGCGUACGGGUGAGUAACACGUGGAUCAUCUACCUUUUAGUGGGGAAUACCGUUGGGAAACCGACGACAAUACCGCAUAAGCCCGAGAGGGGAAAGCAGCAAUGCGCUGAAAGAGGAGUCCGCGGCUGAUUAGCUAGUUGGUAGGGUAAUGGCCUACCAAGGCAUCGAUCAGUAGCCGGCCUGAGAGGGCGCACGGCCACACUGGAACUGAAACACGGUCCAG